rnacentral:rRNA from 1 species
UACGGAGGGUGCGAGCGUUGUCCGGAAUCACUGGGCGUAAAGGGCGCGUAGGCGGCGCGGGUAGUCAUCGGUGAAAGUUCAGGGCUCAACUCUGAAUCGGCCGGUGAUACUCCCGUGCUCGAGCACUGUAGAGGCAGGUGGAAUUCCACGUGUAGCGGUGAAAUGCGUAGAGAUGUGGAGGAACACCAGUGGCGAAGGCGACUCUUUGGCCUGUAACUGACACUGAGGCGCGAAAGCGUGGGGAGCAAACAGG